rnacentral:rRNA from 1 species
UACGAAGGGGGCUAGCGUUGCUCGGAAUCACUGGGCGUAAAGCGCACGUAGGCGGAUCGUUAAGUCGGGGGUGAAAUCCUGGAGCUCAACUCCAGAACUGCCUUCGAUACUGGCGAUCUAGAGUCCGGAAGAGGUGAGUGGAACUCCUAGUGUAGAGGUGGAAUUCGUAGAUAUUAGGAAGAACACCAGUGGCGAAGGCGGCUCACUGGUCCGGUACUGACGGCUGAGGCGCGAAAGCCAGGGGAGCAAACGGGG